rnacentral:rRNA from 2 species
UAUGAGAGUUUGAUCCUGGCUCAGGACGAACGCUGGCGGCGUGCCUAAUACAUGCAAGUCGUACGCUUCUUUUUCCACCGGAGCUUGCUCCACCGGAAAAAGAAGAGUGGCGAACGGGUGAGUAACACGUGGGUAACCUACCCAUCAGAAGGGGAUAACACUUGGAAACAGGUGCUAAUACCGUAUAACAAUCGAAACCGCAUGGUUUUGAUUUGAAAGGCGCUUUCGGGUGUCGCUGAUGGAUGGACCCGCGGUGCAUUAGCUAGUUGGUGAGGUAACGGCUCACCAAGGCUACGAUGCAUAGCCGACCUGAGAGGGUGAUCGGCCACAUUGGGACUGAGACACGGCCCAAACUCCUACGGGAGGCAGCAGUAGGGAAUCUUCGGCAAUGGACGAAAGUCUGACCGAGCAACGCCGCGUGAGUGAAGAAGGUUUUCGGAUCGUAAAACUCUGUUGUUAGAGAAGAACAAGGAUGAGAGUAACUGUUCAUCCCUUGACGGUAUCUAACCAGAAAGCCACGGCUAACUACGUGCCAGCAGCCGCGGUAAUACGUAGGUGGCAAGCGUUGUCCGGAUUUAUUGGGCGUAAAGCGAGCGCAGGCGGUUUCUUAAGUCUGAUGUGAAAGCCCCCGGCUCAACCGGGGAGGGUCAUUGGAAACUGGGAGACUUGAGUGCAGAAGAGGAGAGUGGAAUUCCAUGUGUAGCGGUGAAAUGCGUAGAUAUAUGGAGGAACACCAGUGGCGAAGGCGGCUCUCUGGUCUGUAACUGACGCUGAGGCUCGAAAGCGUGGGGAGCAAACAGGAUUAGAUACCCUGGUAGUCCACGCCGUAAACGAUGAGUGCUAAGUGUUGGAGGGUUUCCGCCCUUCAGUGCUGCAGCUAACGCAUUAAGCACUCCGCCUGGGGAGUACGACCGCAAGGUUGAAACUCAAAGGAAUUGACGGGGGCCCGCACAAGCGGUGGAGCAUGUGGUUUAAUUCGAAGCAACGCGAAGAACCUUACCAGGUCUUGACAUCCUUUGACCACUCUAGAGAUAGAGCUUCCCCUUCGGGGGCAAAGUGACAGGUGGUGCAUGGUUGUCGUCAGCUCGUGUCGUGAGAUGUUGGGUUAAGUCCCGCAACGAGCGCAACCCUUAUUGUUAGUUGCCAUCAUUCAGUUGGGCACUCUAGCAAGACUGCCGGUGACAAACCGGAGGAAGGUGGGGAUGACGUCAAAUCAUCAUGCCCCUUAUGACCUGGGCUACACACGUGCUACAAUGGGAAGUACAACGAGUCGCGAAGUCGCGAGGCUAAGCUAAUCUCUUAAAGCUUCUCUCAGUUCGGAUUGUAGGCUGCAACUCGCCUACAUGAAGCCGGAAUCGCUAGUAAUCGCGGAUCAGCACGCCGCGGUGAAUACGUUCCCGGGCCUUGUACACACCGCCCGUCACACCACGAGAGUUUGUAACACCCGAAGUCGGUGAGGUAACCUUUUGGAGCCAGCCGCCUAAGGUGGGAUAGAUGAUUGGGGUGAAGUCGUAACAAGGUAGCCGUAUCGGAAGGUGCGGCUGGAUCACCUCCUUUCUAAGGAA